GGACUACCCGGGUUUCUAAUCCUGUUUGCUCCCCACGCUUUCGCAUCUCAGUGUCAAUCUGGAUCCAGGUAGCCGCCUUCGCCACUGGUGUUCUUUCAGAUAUCUACGCAUUUCACCGCUACACCUGAAAUUCCACUACCCUCUAUCCGAUUCUAGUCAUACAGUAUUCAACGCAAUUCCCAGGUUAAGCCCAGGGCUUUCACAUCAAACUUAUAUAACAACCUACAUGCGCUUUACGCCCAGUAAUUCCGAUUAACGCUUGCACCCUCUGUAUUACCGCGGCGGCUGGCAC
rnacentral:rRNA from 2 species